UGGAGGGAGCGUGGUCUUGGGAGGCGGGGCGGAGGGGGACGGACAGGGCAGCUCACGACGCUGAGGUGGUGGCUGCGGCCUUUGAACAAGUAAGUGAGCCACCCUCGGAGACCCCCGCGCUGGGGACGGGAGGCCGGCGAGCCUCGGGACCUCUGAAAGCCUUGAGGAGGCGCGGGGGAAACUGGGAAGUUCCCUGGUCCUGCUCCCCAGCCCGCAGAAGGGACACUGAGGCCCGCGGUAGGUGGUCCCCUCCUCACGCGAGUCUCCACACAGACACCAUGGCCGAGCCUCUGAAGGAGGAAGACGGCGAGGACGGCUCUGCGGAGCCCCCCGGGCCCGUGAAGGCCGAACCCGCCCACACUGCUGCCUCUGUAGCGGCCAAGAACCUGGCCCUGCUUAAAGCCCGCUCCUUCGAUGUGACCUUUGACGUGGGCGACGAGUACGAGAUCAUCGAGACCAUAGGCAACGGGGCCUAUGGAGUGGUGUCCUCCGCCCGCCGCCGCCUCACCGGCCAGCAGGUGGCCAUCAAGAAGAUCCCUAAUGCUUUCGAUGUGGUGACCAAUGCCAAGCGGACCCUCAGGGAGCUGAAGAUCCUCAAGCACUUUAAGCAUGACAACAUCAUCGCCAUCAAGGACAUCCUGAGGCCCACUGUGCCCUAUGGCGAAUUCAAAUCUGUCCCCUACGGGGUCCCAGGCUACGUGGUUCUGGACCUGAUGGAAAGUGACCUGCACCAGAUCAUCCACUCCUCACAGCCCCUCACACUGGAACACGUGCGCUACUUCCUGUACCAGCUGCUGCGGGGCCUGAAGUACAUGCACUCGGCUCAGGUCAUCCACCGUGACCUCAAGCCCUCCAACCUGUUGGUGAAUGAGAACUGUGAGCUCAAGAUUGGUGACUUUGGUAUGGCUCGUGGCCUGUGCACCUCACCUGCUGAACAUCAGUACUUCAUGACCGAGUAUGUGGCCACGCGCUGGUACCGUGCGCCUGAGCUCAUGCUCUCUUUGCAUGAGUAUACACAGGCUAUUGACCUCUGGUCUGUGGGCUGCAUCUUUGGUGAGAUGCUGGCCCGGCGCCAGCUCUUCCCAGGCAAAAACUAUGUACACCAGCUACAGCUCAUCAUGAUGGUGCUGGGUACCCCAUCACCAGCCGUGAUUCAGGCUGUGGGGGCUGAGAGGGUGCGAGCCUAUAUCCAGAGCUUGCCACCACGCCAGCCUGUGCCCUGGGAGACAGUGUACCCAGGUGCCGACCGCCAGGCCCUAUCACUGCUGGGUCGCAUGCUGUGUUUUGAGCCCAGCGCCCGCAUCUCAGCAGCUGCUGCCCUUCGCCACCCUUUCCUGGCCAAGUACCAUGAUCCUGAUGAUGAGCCUGACUGUGCCCCGCCCUUUGACUUUGGCUUUGACCGCGAAGCCCUCACUCGGGAGCGCAUUAAGGAGGCCAUUGUGGCUGAAAUUGAGGACUUCCAUGCAAGGCGUGAGGGCAUCCGCCAACAGAUCCGCUUCCAGCCUUCUCUACAGCCUGUGGCUAGUGAGCCUGGCUGUCCAGAUGUUGAAAUGCCCAGUCCCUGGGCUCCCAGUGGGGACUGCGCCAUGGAGUCUCCACCACCAGCCCCACCACCGUGCCCGGGCCCUGCACCUGACACCAUUGAUCUGACCCUGCAGCCACCCCCACCAGCCAGUGAGCCUGCCCCACCGAAGAAAGAGGGUGCCAUCUCAGACAACACUAAGGCUGCCCUUAAAGCUGCCCUGCUCAAGUCUUUGAGGAGCCGGCUCAGAGAUGGCCCCAGCGCACCCCUGGAGGCUCCUGAGCCUCGGAAGCCGGUGACAGCCCAGGAGCGCCAGCGGGAGCGGGAGGAGAAGCGGCGGCGGCGGCAAGAACGAGCCAAGGAGCGGGAGAAACGGCGGCAGGAGCGGGAGCGAAAGGAACGGGGGGCUGGGGCCUCUGGGGGCCCCUCCACUGACCCCUUGGCUGGACUGGUGCUCAGUGACAAUGACAGAAGCCUGUUGGAACGCUGGACUCGAAUGGCCCGGCCCCCAGCCCCCACCUCCGUGCCAGCCCCUACCCCAGCACCAGCGCCAACCCCGGCCCAACCUACCAGUCCUCCUCCUGGCCCUGUAGCUCAGCCCACUGGCCCGCAACCACAACCUGCGGGCUCUACCUCUGGCCCUGUACCCCAGCCUGCCUGCCCACCCCCUGGCCCUGCACCCCACCCCACUGGCCCUCCUAGGCCCAUCCCUGUCCCUGAACCACCCCAGAUUGCCACCUCCACCAGCCUCCUGGCUCCCCAGUCACUUGUGCCACCCCCUGGGCUGCCUGGCUCCAGCACUCCAGGAGUUUUGCCUUACUUCCCACCUGGCCUGCCGCCUCCAGAUGCUGGGGGAGCCCCUCAGUCUUCCAUGUCAGAGUCACCUGAUGUCAACCUUGUGACCCAGCAGCUAUCUAAGUCACAGGUGGAGGACCCCCUGCCCCCCGUGUUUUCAGGCACACCAAAGGGCAGUGGGGCUGGCUACGGUGUUGGCUUUGACCUGGAGGAAUUCUUAAACCAGUCUUUUGACAUGGGCGUGGCUGAUGGGCCACAGGAUGGCCAGGCAGAUUCAGCCUCUCUCUCAGCCUCCCUGCUUGCUGACUGGCUCGAAGGCCAUGGCAUGAACCCUGCCGAUAUUGAGUCCCUGCAGCGUGAGAUCCAGAUGGACUCCCCAAUGCUGCUGGCUGACCUGCCUGACCUCCAGGACCCCUGAGGCCCACAGCCUGUGCCUUGCUGCCACGGUAGACCUAGUUCCAGGAUCCAUGGGAGCAUUCUCAAAGGCUUUAGCCCUGGACCCAGCAGGUGCAGACACCUCCCUGUGUGUCUUGCUGGCAGGCAGCUAGACUGCUCCUUUAUCCACCCUCCUGUAUCCGGAGCUAGAGAAGCCUGAGGAGAGUUUUUGAAGGAAACUCAUCAAAGCAGAGAGCACCUAGGGAGAAGAGACGGCAACCGUGCACAAGACAGAACCUCCAGCCCUCUUGGAGCUACAGAAGAGAAAGAAAAGUAAAGUGAAAUGAUAAGUACUAUGAAAAAUGAAGCAGGAAGGUGGCAGGAGUGGGGCCAAAGUUUGAAACAGGGCAUGUCCAGAAGGCCGUAGUCCAGAAGGCCGUAGUGUGGAGAUGGUAAUGGCAAACUCUGGGUCCAAGGGCAGACACAGACAUUUUGUGGUGGGGAACGCUCUAUCUUAUUUGUCUAACACGGGGGAAGGUUUUAGGAGGGAUUUAGUGUCUCUACCCGCCUUUUUAUAGUUUGGGACAAGAUCAGUUGAUGGAGCUCAGGAUGUGGCAGAGAGAAGAGGCAGAUUAGAGAUGGGGAGGGUGUUAAAUCUAGGCUAAAACAUUUGAACUUGAUCCCAAGGGCCUUUGGGAUUAGGGUAUAUUGAGAUAAUGUAACUUAGGUUCCUGAUUUUACUUUGAUGUGUAGAUGCUACAUAACUGGGGAGAAAGCAUACAGAUUAGAGGUCUUUUUGUUUUUAAAUAAACAAAUGCAUGUGUAUAAUUGGGAUAAGAGGGGUACUUGGAGGCCGUAUAUGGAGAAACAGCAGUCCCUAGCCCUGUGUUUGAUGAGUCCUGGGGUUGAGUCUUUUCUCUUUCAUUGUGCUGGCCAGUGAGUGGAGGUUUGUUUCCGUCAGUUCUGAGAAAAUUAUUUUCUAUUACUUCUUUGGCUAUUUCUUUCCUCCAUUUUCUCUGUUCUGAUUGUGAUAAUUUUAUUAGUUGGUUAUUAGAUCUCUUAAAUUGAUCCUGUAUUAUAUAUUGCCCUAAAAAUCCUCUGUGCUCUGCCAACCAUCUCUUCCUCCCCCUAACCCCCUGGCAACUACUGAACUUUUUAGUGUCUCCAUAAUUUUAUCUUUUCCAGAAUGUCAUAUAGCUGGAGUCAUAUAAUAAUUUGUAGCCUUUUCAGAUUGGCUUCUUUCACUUAGUAAUAUGCAUUUAAGUUUCCUCCAUGUCUUCUCAUGGUGUGUUAGCUUACUUCUUUUCAACACUGAAUAAUAUGCAAUUGUCUGGAUGUACCACAGUUUAUCCAUUCACUUAAUAAAGGACAUCUUGGUUGCUUCCAAAUUUGGAUGAUUAUGAAUAAAGCUGCUAUAAACGUCUGUGUACAGGUUUUGUGUGGACAUACAUUUUCAACUCACUUGGGUAAAUACCAAGGAGCAUGAUUGCUGGAUCAUAUGGUAAGACUAUGUUUAUUUAGUUUUGUAAAAAACUGCCAAACUAUCUUCCAAAGUAUCUGUACCAUUUUCUAUUCCUACCAGCAAUGAAUGAUUGCUGUUCCAUAUCUUUGCCAGCAUUUAGUAUUGUCGUUAUUUUUUACUUUAGCUAGUCUUAUACUUAUGUAAUGAUGUCUUGUGAUUUUAAUUUGAAUUAUUUAAUAGCAUAUGAUGUUGAACAUCUUUUCAUGUGCUUGUUUGCCAUCUGUAUAUCUUUUUUAGUGAAAAAUCUAUUCAUGUCUUUUGCCCAUGUUCUUUUUUUUUUUUUGAAACAGGGGCUUGCUCUGUCACCCAGGCUGGGUGUAGUGGUGCAAUCUCAGCUCACUGCAGCCUCAACCUCCUAUGUUCAGGCCAUCCUCCCACCUCAGCUUCCCAAGUAGCUGGGACUACAGUCGUGCACCACCACACUUGGCUAAUUUUUGUAUAUUUUUUAGAGACGUGGUUUUGCCAUGUUGCCGAGGCUGGUCUCUAACUCCUGGACUCAAGCAGUCCUCUGGCCUCAGCCUCCCAACGUGCUGGGAUUACAGGCAUGAGCCACUGCACCCGUUCCCCCAACCCGUGUUCUAAUUGGAUCAUUUGCUUUUUUGCUGCUGGAGUUUUGAGAGACCUUUAUGUAUUCUAGAUACUAGUUCAUUGUCAGCUGUGUGGUUUGCAAAUAUUUUUACCCAUUCUGUGGCUUGUCUUUUUAUCCUCUAUAGGGCCAGUCUUUUAUAGAGCAAACAUUUUAAAUUUUGAUUAAGUUGAAUUAAUCAACUUUAAUGGUUGUGUUUUUGGUAUUAUAUCUAGCAACUUUUUGCUUAGUCCUAGGUCCCAAAGAUCUUCUAUUUUUUUCUAGUUUUAAUAAUUUUACAUUUAAGUUGGUGAUCCACUUUGAGUUAAUAUUUAUAGAAGUCAAGUUCUUUUUUUCGCCCUUCUUUUUGUAGAUUCCUUAGGAUUUUCUACAUAGAUAAUUAGGUCAUCUGCAAAUAGGGGGAAGUUUAUUUCAUCCUUUCCUAUUUGUAUAUCUGUUAUCUCCUUUUCUGGUCUUAUUGCACUGGCUAGAAUUUCUAAUCCUAUGUUGAAUAAGAGUAAUGAGAGCAGAUAUCAUUGCCUCAUUCCUGAUUUUAGCAAGAAAGCAUCCAAGGCUAGGUGCAGUGGCUCAAGCCUGUAAUCCCCAACACUUUGGGAGGCUGAGGUGGGAGGAUCACUUGAGCCCAGGAGAUUGAGGCUGCAGUGAGCUGUGAUUGCACCACUGCUCUCCAGCCACGGUGACAGAGUCAGACCCUGUCUCAGAAAAAAAGAAAAGAAAGCAAGCAUUCAGUCUUUCACUGUUAGGAAUAAUGUUACCUGUAGGUUUUUUUAGAUGCUCUUUAUCAAGUUGAGAAAUUUCCCCUGUAUUCCUACUUUUCUGACAAUUUAUCAUUCAUGGGGUGUUGAAUUUUUUCAAAUACUUUUUCCACAUUGAUUGAUAUAAUCAUGUGGGUUUUCUUCUUUAGCCUAUUCACUUGGUGGGUUAUAUUGAUUGAUUUUCAAAUAUCGAACCAACCUUUCAUUUCUAGAAUAAAUUACACUUGGUCAUAGUGUAGAAUUAUUUUUAUAUUGCUGAAUUCUAUUUGGUAAUAUUUUGUUAAGAAUUUUUGCACCUAUUCAUGAAGGAUAUUAGUCUGAAUAUUGGUUUUGAUACAGGGUCAUAAUAGCUUUGUAAUGAAUUGGGAAGUAUUUCCUUCUCUUUCCUUCUGUUUUCUGGAAGAUAUUGUAUAUAACUAGUUUUAAUUCUUUUUUUUUUUUUUUAGAUAGGAUCUUACUCUGUCACCCAGACUGGAGUGCAGUGGUGCGAUCAUGGCUCCCUGCAGCCUCAACCUCCUGGGCUCAAGCAAUCCUCCGUCCUCGGCCUCCCAAAGUGCUGGGAUUAUCGGCAUGAGCCACUGAUCCUGGCCCUGUGUUAAUUCUUUUGUAAAAGUUUGGUAGAAUUCUUCAGGGAAAUCAUGUGAGGCUGGAUUUUUUUUUUUUUUCCUGAAAAAUAUUGUGAUACAUCUUUUAGGCCUCCAUGGUUUUUGAAGAGAUGUUUGUUGUCAUUUAAAUUGCUUUCCCUCUAUAAAUAAAGCAUUUUUGCCUAGGUGCUUUA